rnacentral:misc_RNA from 1 species
GAUGAAGAACGUAGCGAAAUGCGAUAAGUAAUGUGAAUUGCAGAAUUCAGUGAAUCAUCGAAUCUUUGAACGCACAUUGCGCCCGCCAGUAUUCUGGCGGGCAUGCCUGUUCGAGCGUCAUUUCAACCAUCAAGCCCCCGGCUUGUGUUGGGGACCUGCGGCUGCCGCAGGCCCUGAAAACCAGUGGCGGGCUCGCUAGUCACUCCGAGCGUAGUAGUUACAUCUCGCUCAGGGCGUGCUGCGGGUUCCGGCCGUUAAAAAGCCUUUUUUACCCAAGGUUGACCUCGGAUCAGGUAGGAAGACCCGCUGAACUUAAGCAUAUCAAUAAGCGGAGGA